CGUAGGGUGCGAGCGUUAAUCGGAAUUACUGGGCGUAAAGCGUGCGCAGGCGGUUUUGUAAGACAGGCGUGAAAUCCCCGGGCUCAACCUGGGAACUGCGCUUGUGACUGCAAGGCUAGAGUACGGCAGAGGGGGUGGAAUUCCACGUGUAGCAGUGAAAUGCGUAGAGAUGUGGAGGAACACCAAUGGCGAAGGCAGCCCCCUGGGUCGAUACUGACGCUCAUGCACGAAAGCGUGGGUAGCAAACAGGAUUAGAUACCCUGGUAGUCCACGCCCUAAACGAUGUCAACUAGGUGUUGGGUGGGUAAAACCAUUUAGUACCGGAGCUAACGCGUGAAGUUGACCGCCUGGGGAGUACGGUCGCAAGAUUA
rnacentral:rRNA from 1 species